ACAGGGAUUGCCUCAGUAACGGCGAGUGAAGCGGCAACAGCUCAAAUUUGAAAUCUGAUACUUUUAGUGUCCGAGUUGUAAUUUGAAGAGGAUGUUUCGGUUGUGACCGUGGCCUAAGUUCCUUGGAACAGGACGUCGUAGAGGGUGAGAAUCCCGUACACGGCUAACGGUUUACUUCCAUGUGUAACUCCUUCGAAGAGUCGAGUUGUUUGGGAAUGCAGCUCAAAAUGGGUGGUAAAUUUCAUCUAAAGCUAAAUACUGGCGAGAGACCGAUAGCGCACAAGUAGAGUGAUCGAAAGAUGAAAAGCACUUUGAAAAGAGAGUUAAACAGUACGUGAAAUUGUUGAAAGGGAAGCGUUUGCAAUCAGACUUGCUUGCGGUUGAUCAACGUUCCUUCUGGUUCGUGCACUCUGCCGUUCGCAGGCCAGCAUCGGUUAGGGCGGUGGGACAAAGACUCUGAGAAUGUGGCUCUCUUCGGGGAGUGUUAUAGCUCAGUGUGUAAUGCCACCAGUCCUGAUCGAGGUCCGCGCUUCUGCUAGGAUGCUGGCAUAAUGGUUGUAAACGACCCGUCUUGAAACACGGACCAAGGAGUCUAACAUCUAUGCGAGUGUUUGGGUGUCAAACCCAUACGCGAAAUAAAAGUGAACGGAGGUGGGAGUCUUCGGAUGCACCAUCGACCGAUCCUGAUGUUCUCGGAUGGAUUUGAGUAGGAGCAUAGCUGUUGGGACCCGAAAGAUGGUGAACUAUGCCUGAAUAGGGUGAAGCCAAAGGAAACUUUGGUGGAGGCUCGCAGCGGUUCUGACGUGCAAAUCGAUCGUCAAAUUUGGGUAUAGGGGCGAAAGACUAAUCGA
rnacentral:rRNA from 1 species